rnacentral:rRNA from 1 species
UACGGGGGGGGCAAGCGUUGUUCGGAAUUACUGGGCGUAAAGGGCUUGUAGGUGGCCAACUAAGUCAGACGUGAAAUCCCUCGGCUUAACCGGGGAACUGCGUCUGAUACUGGAUGGCUUGAGUUUGGGAGAGGGACGCGGAAUUCCAGGUGUAGCGGUGAAAUGCGUAGAUAUCUGGAGGAACACCGGUGGCGAAGGCGGCGUCCUGGACCAACACUGACGCUGAAAAGCGAAAGCCAGGGGAGCAAACGGG